AGUUUCCAUAAAUGAAAUUCAGAAAUGAUCAUCUUGAUAUUUUGCAUCAUUGCAAUGCAUGGACAAGCAUGCUCAGUAAGUUCAGCACGAGGACCUCUUUUUCUGAAGCAAGUGAAACCUUGCUGUAAAUGAAACUAAGACAUACAAACGAUAGAUCCAAUCUAGCAUAUAUAUUCUUCUAUAGAGUUCUGCAGAAAAAUGCGGUGCAGAUCAGAAACUGUUCACUGAGUGUGUUCUCUGGUAUGGGCUGGACAGACACUGGACAUGAAAGGAAAAUCUUGGUGCCAGGACUAAAUUUAGACCCUAUGGCUCCAUUUCAACCACUACACAUACCUCGUGCUUUGCAUUAAAAACUAUAAAUAGCCAUUUAUUCUCUUGAAUUGCUAGUGUACUGCAAGGAGUAGUUUUAGUCCAUAUUAAUGCCAAAAAGCUCUCUGCUCUGUCAUAGACAGGAAUAACACAGGCUAUAGUAGAAAGAAAGAGUGUAGUCAUUUGGAUGCAACCAAGGUGUGAAUUGCACUCUGUUCUUGUAGGCCAGGACUUGAUCUUCAGCCCUCUGAGUAUUGUGUCCUACUGAGGAGGAGCCAGAUAUGAUGAGGAGGUGACAGAUACUGUUUUUAAUGCAAAAUUUGAUUAGGAAGGAGUUACAAGAAACAAGAUCAUUAAGUUCAUUAGUAGUAAUUUGUAAAACCUGUUCAUUUCUGCUGAUUGUGCUAAGGAAAUGUACAGCGGGCCCUUCCUGGGGAAUUGGUGUGCCUUCACUUUUGGAUAGUAGACCAGAGGGUUGUAGCUCCAGACGACAGCCUGGACAUAACCGUACUACACUUCUGGUUAGAAAGAAAUCUCCAAUGGAUAAUAAUCCGGAUGAACAAUAAAAGAGUUAUAGGCCUCUGUAGGGGAAAAUCCCAUUAUAUUACAUUGAGAACAUGAAAAUACAUUGACAAUACUUGGCCUGAAAUACAGAAGAAUUAGGGAGCACUUGACUGAAACAAAGAAAGUGAUGAAAGGCUCAGAAAAAAAAAAAAAACAACACCCUUGUUUUCUUAUUUUUCAUUUUAUUUUGACAUAUCUUUGUGAAACUUAGCAAUGUAUCAAAUUAGAGGCCACUAAACUGAAGAUCAAUAAGAGGAGUGCUAUAAGCCAUGUGUGAGUGUGGCUGUGCUUGGGUGCUUGUGUGCAUGCAUAAAGAGAGAGAGAGACAUAAAAGCUGCAUUAUUUUCUACCACAUAAAGAAAUAAACUAACAGAUUGUGGGUGGAAUAAUUGACCA
rnacentral:lncRNA from 1 species